rnacentral:rRNA from 1 species
AUUGAACGCUGGCGGCAGGCCUAACACAUGCAAGUCGAACGAGUGGCGGACGGGUGAGUAAUGUCUGGGAAACUGCCUGAUGGAGGGGGAUAACUACUGGAAACGGUAGCUAAUACCGCAUACCAUCAGAUGUGCCCAGAUGGGAUUAGCUAGUUUGUGGGGUAACGGGUUUUCAAGGCGAAGAUCCCUAGCUGGUCUGAGAGGAUGACCAGCCAAACUGGAACGGUGACACGGUCCAGACUCCUACGGGAGGCAGCAGUGGGGAAUAUUGCACAAUGGACGCAAGCCUGAUGCAGCCAUGCCGCGUGUAUGAAGAAGGCCUUCGGGUUGUAAAGUACUUUCAGUGGGGAGGCGUUACCCGCAGAAGAAGCACCGGCUAACUACGUGCCAGCAGCCGCGGUAAUAC